GGGCUUCAAAUCCGCCGUCCGCCUUACCUUCUAAACCCAACCGGUCGGCCCGUACAUGCCGAAGAUCCAAAGGACUGGCGGCACCCAGCGCCACGGCCAGCCGUGAACGGCAGAUAAAAGCUUCCGCAUAGAAACAGCCUACACUCGUAGGCAAGAUAGAUCUGUCCAAGAUCACACCACCUCCUUAAUUUUUUCAAAAAAUAAAUGAAAAUCUCUGUCCUUCUCUCUCUCUGUCCUUCUCUCUCUUUGGUUCCUUCUCACCCUCUGUCAUGGCGAAGCCUCGGCCGGCGAAGCGAACCCUAGACUCCUAUACGAUCAAGGGAUCCAACAAAAUUAUCAAACCGGGGGACUGCGUGCUGAUGCGGCCGCCGGAGUCAUCAAAGCUGCCGUACGUGGCGAGAGUGGAGAGCAUCGAGGCGGGGGCGCGGGGGUCCAACGUGAAGGUGAGGGUGCGGUGGUACUACCGGCCGGAGGAGUCGAUCGGGGGGCGGCGCCAGUUCCACGGGGCCAAGGAGGUGUUCCUCUCCGACCACUACGACAUCCAGAGCGCCGACACAAUCGAGGGCAAGUGCUUCGUUCACAGCUUCAAGAACUACACCAAGCUCGAUGCUGUCGGCAGCGAUGAUUACUUCUGCCGGUUCGAGUAUAAGUCCGCUACUGGUAGUUUUAUUCCUGACAGAAUCGCUGUUUUUUGCAAGUGUGAGAUGCCUUACAACCCUGAUGACCUUAUGAUCCAGUGUGAGGGCUGCUCUGACUGCUCGAAGGUUUGCAAUCUUAGACAGCAUCAUGCAGUAUGGGGCAUACCAUAUUGUAUCCGCAGGGUACCAAGACUCAAUAUGUCCUCCUUAUCGAGUAUUGUUGUUGAGCUAUGUGCCAUAGCAUAUCCGGCACUUGAGGAGGUCAGUCUUUCAUGUUGGAAGCUAUUGCUACCAACACUUGGUGCGGGGUGUAUUGGAGGGGUACUAGUUGGGGUCUAUUAUCGAGAUUGCAAACCUUGCAUUGCUCUGGUACCAUCCUGCUUGUAUAGAUAUGACUGUUGAGGAAGCUAAGAAGCUUGAACACUUUUUCUGUCAAGGUUGCUCCUCUCAAAAUGAAAAGAAGACAGAAAAUUCUAGUGCUUCAAGAGAAUCAGAAUCAAAGGCUGAGCAAAGUGAACCUGUUAUCGUUUGCAGGUUGAAUCCAAAAGGCUCGAAUCCAAAAGGCGGAGAAGGUGAAUGCCACAGAUGCACGUAUGUCUUAUCCAGGGGAUUGUAUAGAGCGGUCUUCCAGUUUCAGGUAGGUGUAAAUGUUCAGAUGACUGUCUGCAUUCUAGAGGUCACAUGGGGCUCUUGCCAGGCUUUGUACAGGGCAUGUAGUAUUUCGUAUCCUUCAGCUGUGGAAGAUCGAAGGGAGCUUCCAAUUUGUGUAUAUAUUUAUUGGGGUUUGUGUGAUGUCCUUGUACGGUUCUCCUUUUGGUAUUUGAAUCUGUAAUUUUAAGUUUGAGGGGUGGUGUCUUGAGAUGUAACGAGCCAAUAAAUAUUUUAGUAAAAGCUAGCUUUAUUGAUAGUGUCA